rnacentral:rRNA from 1 species
UACGGAGGGUGCAAGCGUUAUCCGGAUUCACUGGGUUUAAAGGGUGCGUAGGUGGGAAUGUAAGUCACUUGUGAAAUCUCCGGGCUUAACUCGGAACGGCCAAGUGAAACUGUCAAGCUAGAGUGCAGAAGGGGCAAUCGGAAUUCUUGGUGUAGCGGUGAAAUGCGUAGAUAUCAAGAGGAACACCUGAGGUGAAGACGGGUUGCUGGCUGACACGUGACGCUGGAGGCGCGAAAGCCAGGGAGCAAACGGG